rnacentral:rRNA from 1 species
GACGAACGCUGGCGGCGUGCUUAACACAUGCAAGUCGAACGGAAAGGCCCUGCUUUUGUGGGGUGCUCGAGUGGCGAACGGGUGAGUAACACGUGAGUAACCUGCCCUUGACUUUGGGAUAACUUCAGGAAACUAGGGCUAAUACCGGCUAGGAGCUCCUGCUGCAUGGUGGGUGUUGGAAAGUUUCGGCGGUUGGGGAUGGACUCGCGGCUUAUCAGCUUGUUGGUGGGGUAGUGGCUUACCAAGGCUUUGACGGGUAGCCGGCCUGAGAGGGUGACCGGCCACAUUGGGACUGAGAUACGGCCCAGACUGCUACGGGAGGCAGCAGUGGGGAAUAUUGCACAAUGGGCGGAAGCCUGAUGCAGCAACGCCGCGUGCGGGAUGACGGCCUUCGGGUUGUAAACCGCUUUCGCCUGUGACGAAGCGUGAGUGACGGUAAUGGGUAAAGAAGCACCGGCUAACUACGUG